CCCAGGGACCUAGGUGUCCAGGAACCCCAACACCCAAGGUCCCAGGUGUCCAGGAACCCCAGCACCCAAGGACCCAGGUCUCCAGGAACCCAAGGACCUAGGUGUCCAGGAACCCCAACACCCAAGGUCCCAGAUGUCCAGCACCCAAGGUCCCAGAUGUCCAGGCACUCCACCACCCAAGCACCCAGGUGUCCAGCACCCAAGGUCCCAGGUGUCCAGGAACCCCACCACCCAAGGACCCAGAUGUCCAGGAACCCCAACACCCAAGGUCCCAGAUGUCCAGGAACCCCAACACCCUGAGACCCAGGUGUCCAGGAACCCCAGCACCCAGGGACCUAGGUGUCCAGGAACCCCAACACCCAAGGUCCCAGGUGUCCAGGAACCCAAACACCCAGGGAACCAGGUGUCCAGGAAGCCCACCACCCAAAGUCCCAGAUGUCCAGGAAGCCCACCACCCAAGGUCCCAGAUGUCCAUGCACCCCAGCACCCAAGCACCCAGAUGUCCAGGAACCCCAACACCCUGAGACCCAGGUGUCCAGGAACCCCAACACCCAAGGACCCAGGUGUCCAGGAACCCCAGCACCCAAGGACCCAGGUCUCCAGGAACCCAAGGACCUAGGUGUCCAGGAACCCCAACACCCAAGGUCCCAGGUGUCCAGGAACCCAAACACCCAGGGAACCAGGUGUCCAGGAAGCCCACCACCCAAAGUCCCAGAUGUCCAGGAAGCCCACCACCCAAGGUCCCAGAUGUCCAUGCACCCCAGCACCCAAGCACCCAGAUGUCCAGGAACCCCAACACCCUGAGACCCAGGUGUCCAGGAACCCAAGGACCUAGGUGUCCAGGAACCCCAACACCCAAGGUCCCAGAUGUCCAGGAACUCCACCACCCAAGGUCCCAGGUGUCCAUGCACCCCAGCACCCAAGGACCUGGGCACCCAGGGACCCAACCACCCGGGCCCCGCCACCCCAACUGACGGUGAAGAUCUCCACGAUGUCGUUGGAGGUGGUGCGGACGGGGUCCACGUCCUUCUCGCUCAACACCCGCAUGAGGCUGACACCGUCGGUCUCCAGGAUCCACUCCUGAAGAGCCUUGAACUCCCCGUCCUCUGUGAUGAU